AACGAACGCUGGCGGCAGGCUUAACACAUGCAAGUCGAGCGCACCGCAAGGUGAGCGGCAGACGGGUGAGUAACGCGUGGGAAUCUACCCAACCCUACGGAAUAACCCAGGGAAACUUGGACUAAUACCGUAUACGCCCUUUUGGGGAAAGAUUUAUCGGGGAUGGAUGAGCCCGCGUUGGAUUAGCUAGUUGGUGGGGUAAAGGCCUACCAAGGCGACGAUCCAUAGCUGGUCUGAGAGGAUGAUCAGCCACAUUGGGACUGAGACACGGCCCAAACUCCUACGGGAGGCAGCAGUGGGGAAUAAUGGACAAUGGGCGCAAGCCUGAUCCAGCCAUGCCGCGUGAGUGAUGAAGGCCUUAGGGUUGUAAAGCUCUUUCAGUAGGGAAGAUAAUGACGGUACCUACAGAAGAAGCCCCGGCUAACUUCGUG
rnacentral:rRNA from 1 species